rnacentral:misc_RNA from 1 species
GAACCCUCAAGCUUUGCUUGGUGUUGGGUGUUUGUCCCGCCUUUGCGCGUGGACUCGCCUUAAAGUCAUUGGCAGCUAUGUAAUUCGGCUUUGAGCGCAGCACAUUGCGAUCUCUCCGCUGGUACAUUGGCAUCCAGAAGCCUUUUUUUUUAC